rnacentral:rRNA from 1 species
UACGUAGGGUGCAAGCGUUAUCCGGAAUUAUUGGGCGUAAAGAGCUCGUAGGCGGUUUGUCGCGUCUGCUGUGAAAACUGGAGGCUCAACCUCCAGCCUGCAGUGGGUACGGGCAAACUAGAGUGCGGUAGGGGAGAUUGGAAUUCCUGGUGUAGCGGUGGAAUGCGCAGAUAUCAGGAGGAACACCGAUGGCGAAGGCGGCUCUCUGGAACGCAACUGACGCUGAGACGCGAAAGCGUGGGGAGCAAACAGG